rnacentral:rRNA from 1 species
UACGGAGGGUCCGAGCGUUAUCCGGAAUUAUUGGGUUUAAAGGGUCCGUAGGCGGGCCAUUAAGUCAGGGGUGAAAUACUACGGCUCAACCGUGGAACUGCCCUUGAUACUGAUGGUCUUGAAUAAUGGUGAAGUUGCCGGAAUAUGUAGUGUAGCGGUGAAAUGCAUAGAUAUUACAUAGAACACCGAUUGCGAAGGCA